CACGUAGUUAGCCGUGGCUUUCUGGUUAGGUACCGUCAAGGUGCGAGCAGUUACUCUCGCACUUGUUCUUCCCUAACAACAGAGCUUUACGAUCCGAAAACCUUCAUCACUCACGCGGCGUUGCUCCGUCAGACUUUCGUCCAUUGCGGAAGAUUCCCUA
rnacentral:rRNA from 1 species